rnacentral:rRNA from 1 species
UACGCUGGCGCCGUGCUUAAGACAUGCAAGUCGAACGGUAAGGCCCCCUUCGGGGGGCACACGAGUGGCGCACGGGUGAGUAACACGUGGGUAAUCUACCGUCGGGUCUGGGACAACUCCGGGAAACUGGAGCUAAUACCGGAUGAGACCACGAGGUCUUCGGACUUCGCGGGAAAAGGUGGCCUCUCCUUGGAAGCUAUCGCCCGUCGAUGAGCCCGCGCCCCAUUAGCCAGUUGGUGAGGUAACGGCUCACCAAGGCAACGAUGGGUAGCUGGUCUGAGAGGACGACCAGCCACACUGGAACUGAGACACGGUCCAGACUCCUACGGGAGGCAGCAGUCGGGAAUUUUGGGCAAUGGGCGAAAGCCUGACCCAGCAACGCCGCGUGAGGGAUGAAGGCCUUCGGGUCGUAAACCUCUGUCGGGAGGGAAGAACGAUCGCAAGGUGAACAAUCUUGGGGCCUGACGGUACCUCCAAAGGAAGCGCCGGCUAACUCCGUGGCAGCAGCA